CUGAAGGCUGUUUUAAUGCCCAGUUGAUAUCUGUACUGAAGGCUGUUUUAAUGCCCAGUUGAUAUCUGUAUCGAAGGUGAAGGAUGUCUUAAUGCCCAGUUGAUAUCUGUAUCGAAGGUGAAGGAUGUUUUAAUGCCCAGUUGAUAUCUGUAUCGAAGGUGAAGGAUGUUUUAAUGCCCAGUUGAUAUCUGUAUCGAAGGUGAAGGAUGUUUUAAUGCCCAGUUGAUAUCUGUAUCGAAGGUGAAGGAUGUUUUAAUGCCCAGUUGAUAUCUGUAUCGAAGGUGAAGGAUGUUUUAAUGCCCAGUUGAUAUCUGUAUCGAAGGUGAAGGAUGUUUUAAUGCCCAGUUGAUAUCUGUAUCGAAGGUGAAGGCUGUUUUAAUGCCCAGUUGAUAUCUGUAUCGAAGGUGAAGGAUGUUUUAAUGCCCAGUUGAUAUCUGUAUCGAAGGUGAAGGAUGUUUUAAUGCCCAGUUGAUAUCUGUAUCGAAGGUGAAGGAUGUUUUAAUGCCCAGUUGAUAUCUGUAUUGAAGGUGAAGGAUGUUUUAAUGCCCAGUUGAUAUCUGUAUCGAAGGUGAACUCAC